UCUUCUCUUUCGAUCCCCUGUGGGAGACGGAGACGGCCGGACCAGCCGGGGGAAGCGCUGAAGCUUUCGAAGAGAUUCUCCCGACGCAUUCCGGUUGUAGCAUACCUUCAUCUUCCGGAGGCUGAUUUUUAUUCUCUUUUGCCUUCUUCUUUUAUCUGGAAAGAGAUUACCAAGCUCUACUUCAGAAGGAAGCAAAGCUGAACAGAAGACCAAGAUGAAGCAGGUAGAAGAUGAGAUAUCUCGACUUGGUGAAGGCCAUUGCUGGCAUUAACAUAACUGGUCAUAGUGACUUGGCAAAGCCCAGAAAAAGGAGAGCUCAGGAGGAAGAAGCUGCAGAAGAACUGGAAUGCAGUAAGCUUUUCUGUUUCGUGGAUGCCAUAUAGCUUGGGGUUCGGUUGACCAACACGUGUGGGCACCUCCACUACAUCUUUGACUGCCCUCCUCCCGGACUCAACGGCGAGACUCCCGGCACGUGCGGGCCUUUCCGCACGCGCCCCGCCGCGAUCAUCGGGGAACACAGAUGAUAUCAUCUAAAAUAGUCCGAAAUCUAAAGCAUCAACAUAAUUAUAACUGAAAACAUAUUUAAAUAAGGACAAAGAAAAACCCAAUAUAUAUAUAUAUAUAUAUAUAUAUAUAUAUAUAUAUAUAUAUAUAUAUAUAUAUAUAUAUAUAUAUAUAUAGGGGGCAGUGAUUUGACAAUAAGUUGUGAGAGAAUCCAUUCUAGUUACCAACCAAGAUACUAUAGAGCCCCACAGUCUUCAAACAUCUCGGAAAGAGAUUUGUCGGCUAUCUAUCUAUGCAUGUAUUUUUUCGGAUGAAACUUAUGUUUGAUCCAUAACCUUACUAUGGACUAUCAACGUCUCAGUUGAUACGAUUUAGAACUUUAUCAUAA